rnacentral:rRNA from 1 species
AUACGGAGGGCGCAAGCGUUACUGGGAAUCACUGGGCGUAAAGCGCGCGCAGGCGGGCUGAUAAGUUGGAUGUGAAAGCCUACGGCUCAACCGUAGAACUGCAUCCAAAACUGUCAGUCUAGAGUCUGGGAGGGGAAGAUGGAAUUAGUUGUGUAGGGGUAAAAUCCGUAGAGAUAACUAGGAAUACCAAAAGCGAAGGCGAUCUUCUGGAACAGUACUGACGCUGAGGCGCGAAAGCGUGGGGAGCAAACAGGAUUAGAUACCCUAGUAGUCC